rnacentral:tRNA from 1 species
GCCCUGAUAGUAUAAACAUUACACUGGUCUUGUAAAUCAGAAAUGAAAACUUAUUUUCUCAGGGCA